rnacentral:rRNA from 1 species
CAGUCGCCGCGGUAAAACGAAGGGUGCAAGCGUUAAUCGGAAUUACUGGGCGUAAAGCGUGCGUAGGCGGUGAGUUAAGUCUGCUGUGAAAUCCCCGGGCUCAACCUGGGAAUGGCAGUGGAUACUGGCUCGCUAGAGUGUGUCAGAGGAUGGUGGAAUUCCCGGUGUAGCGGUGAAAUGCGUAGAGAUCGGGAGGAACAUCAGUGGCGAAGGCGGCCAUCUGGGACAACACUGACGCUGAGGCACGAAAGCGUGGGGAGCAAACAGGAUUAGAUACCCCCGUAGUCCCUGUCCCUUAUAC